CCUCUUUUAUCAGGGAAGAAACAAAUGACGGUACCUGAUGAAUCAGCAUCGGCUAACUCCGUGCCAGCAGCCGCGGUAAUACGGAGGAUGCAAGCGUUAUCCGGAAUUAUUGGGCGUAAAGCGUCCGCAGGUGGUUUUGAAAGUUUGCUGUCAAAGCGCGGAGCUUAACUUCGUACCGGCAGUGAAAACUACGAGACUAGAGUUUGGUAGGGGUCACGGGAAUUCCCAGUGUAGCGGUGAAAUGCGUAGAGAUUGGGAAGAACACCAGCGGCGAAAGCGCGUGACUGGGCCUGAACUGACACUCAUGGACGAAAGCUAGGGGAGCGAAAGGGAUUAGAUACCCCUGUAGUCCUAGCCGUAAACGAUGACAACUAGGUGUUGCCCGUAUCGACCCGGGCAGUGCCGUAGCCAACGCGUUAAGUUGUCCGCCUGGGGAGUACGCACGCAAGUGUGAAACUCAAAGGAAUUGACGGGGGCCCGCACAAGCGGUGGAGUAUGUGGUUUAAUUCGAUGCAACGCGAAGAACCUUACCAAGGCUUGACAUGUCGCGAACCCUCUUGAAAGGGAGGGGUGCCUUCGGGAGCGCGAACACAGGUGGUGCAUGGCUGUCGUCAGCUCGUGUCGUGAGAUGUUGGGUUAAGUCCCGCAACGAGCGCAACCCUCGUUUCUAGUUGCCAUCAUUAAGUUGGGCACUUUAGAGAGACUGCCGGUGACAAACCGGAGGAAGGUGGGGAUGACGUCAAGUCAGCAUGCCCCUUACGCCUUGGGCUACACACGUACUACAAUGCUACGGACAAAGAGCCGCAAGUUCGCGAGGACAAGCAAAUCUCAUAAACCGUGGCUCAGUUCAGAUUGCAGGCUGCAACUCGCCUGCAUGAAGGCGGAAUCGCUAGUAAUCGCAGGUCAGCAUACUGCGGUGAAUACGUUCCCGGGCCUUGUACACACCGCCCGUCACACCAUGGAAGUUGGCCACGCCCGAAGUCAUUACUCCAACCCUUCGGGGAGGAGGAUGCCGAAGGCAGGGCUGAUGACUGGGGUGAAGUCGUAACAAGGUAGCCGUACCGGAAGGUGUGGCUGGAUCACCUCCUUU
rnacentral:rRNA from 1 species